UUUAAAAGCAGCCAUGAAUUUCCGUGUCCAACUUUGAUCGCCCGUCUUAUUUAAUUUUUUUAUAAUUAAUAUUUUUGUUGUUAUGAGAUGAUAAAACACGAAUAGUGUUUUACUCGUGACUUAUGUUUUUAAUUUUUUUUAAAUUGUUUUUUAAAUAAGACGAACGAUCAAAGUUAUGCGCGAAAAAUCAUGGUUGCAUUUAAA
rfam:Oryza sativa Japonica Group DNA, chromosome 2, cultivar: Nipponbare, complete sequence.